CAGCCGCCACGGUAAUACGUAGGGUGCGAGCGUUAAUCGGAAUUACUGGGCGUAAAGCGUGCGCAGGCGGUUUUGUAAGACAGGCGUGAAAUCCCCGGGCUCAACCUGGGAAUGGCGCUUGUGACUGCAAAGCUAGAGUGCGGCAGAGGGGGAUGGAAUUCCGCGUGUAGCAGUGAAAUGCGUAGAUAUGCGGAGGAACACCGAUGGCGAAGGCAAUCCCCUGGGCCUGCACUGACGCUCAUGCACGAAAGCGUGGGGAGCAAACAGGAUUAGAUACCCCAGUAGUCCCUGUCUCUUAUAC
rnacentral:rRNA from 1 species